AAAUUUACUGAUGAUUGCUGGUUAUUCCUUUUUACUAAACAAACUUGUAGUUAGCUUUUCCUUUAACUGUCACUAAUAUAUUUGGAAUUUUAUAAGAGGAAUUAUCAUACGCUUUUGAAACGUUGCUUUUGAACACUUUGACUACAGUGACUUCAAAUAAUCCUUUUUUGUUUCUGAAGGAUCAGUUCCACGACAAGACCCCUUAUACGAUUAUGUUUGGUCCAGAUAAAUGUGGAGAGGACUAUAAACUGCACUUCAUCUUCCGACACAAAAACCCCAAAACGGGUAUUUAUGAAGAAAAACAUGCUAAGAGGCCAGAUGCAGAUCUGAAGACCUAUUUUACUGAUAAGAAAACACAUCUUUACACACUAAUCUUGAAUCCAGAUAAUAGUUUUGAAAUACUAGUUGACCAAUCUGUGGUGAAUAGUGGAAAUCUGCUCAAUGACAUGACUCCUCCUGUAAAUCCUUCACGUGAAAUUGAGGACCCAGAAGACCGGAAGCCCGAGGAUUGGGAUGAAAGACCAAAAAUCCCAGAUCCAGAAGCUGUCA
rnacentral:sRNA from 1 species